rnacentral:rRNA from 2 species
UCCGAACGCACUCUCGUUUAGAUUGAAGGAGCUUGCUCCUGAUUGAUAAACAUUUGAGUGAGUGGCGGACGGGUGAGUAACACGUGGGUAACCUGCCCUAAAGUGGGGGAUAACAUUUGGAAACAGAUGCUAAUACCGCAUAAAACCUAACACCGCAUGGUGUAGGGUUGAAAGAUGGUUUCGGCUAUCACUUUAGGAUGGACCCGCGGUGCAUUAGUUAGUUGGUGAGGUAAAGGCUCACCAAGACCGUGAUGCAUAGCCGACCUGAGAGGGUAAUCGGCCACACUGGGACUGAGACACGGCCCAGACUCCUACGGGAGGCAGCAGUAGGGAAUCUUCCACAAUGGACGAAAGUCUGAUGGAGCAACGCCGCGUGAGUGAAGAAGGUUUUCGGAUCGUAAAACUCUGUUGUUGGAGAAGAAUGUAUCUGAUAGUAACUGAUCAGGUAGUGACGGUAUCCAACCAGAAAGCCACGGCUAACUACGUGCCAGCAGCCGCGGUAAUACGUAGGUGGCAAGCGUUGUCCGGAUUUAUUGGGCGUAAAGCGAGCGCAGGCGGUUUCUUAAGUCUGAUGUGAAAGCCUUCGGCUCAACCGAAGAAGUGCAUCGGAAACUGGGAACUUGAGUGCAGAAGAGGACAGUGGAACUCCAUGUGUAGCGGUGAAAUGCGUAGAUAUAUGGAAGAACACCAGUGGCGAAAGCGGCUGUCUGGUCUGUAACUGACGCUGAGGCUCGAAAGCAUGGGUAGCAAACAGGAUUAGAUACCCUGGUAGUCCAUGCCGUAAACGAUGAGUGCUAGGUGUUGGAGGGUUUCCGCCCUUCAGUGCCGCAGCUAACGCAUUAAGCACUCCGCCUGGGGAGUACGACCGCAAGGUUGAAACUCAAAGGAAUUGACGGGGGCCCGCACAAGCGGUGGAGCAUGUGGUUUAAUUCGAAGCAACGCGAAGAACCUUACCAGGUCUUGACAUCCUUUGACCACUCUAGAGAUAGAGCUUUCCCUUCGGGGACAAAGUGACAGGUGGUGCAUGGUUGUCGUCAGCUCGUGUCGUGAGAUGUUGGGUUAAGUCCCGCAACGAGCGCAACCCUUAUUACUAGUUGCCAGCAUUUAGUUGGGCACUCUAGUGAGACUGCCGGUGACAAACCGGAGGAAGGUGGGGACGACGUCAAAUCAUCAUGCCCCUUAUGACCUGGGCUACACACGUGCUACAAUGGAUGGUACAACGAGUUGCGAGACCGCGAGGUUUAGCUAAUCUCUUAAAACCAUUCUCAGUUCGGAUUGUAGGCUGCAACUCGCCUACAUGAAGCCGGAAUCGCUAGUAAUCGCGGAUCAGCAUGCCGCGGUGAAUACGUUCCCGGGCCUUGUAC